rnacentral:rRNA from 1 species
GUGCCAGCAGCCGCGGUAAUACGGAGGGAGCUAGCGUUGUUCGGAAUCACUGGGCGUAAAGCGCACGUAGGCGGCUUGAUAAGUCAGGGGUGAAAUCCCGGGGCUCAACCCCGGAACUGCCUUUGAAACUAUCGAGCUGGAAUCUUGGAGAGGCGAGUGGAAUUCCGAGUGUAGAGGUGAAAUUCGUAGAUAUUCGGAAGAACACCAGUGGCGAAGGCGACUCGCUGGACAAGUAUUGACGCUGAGGUGCGAAAGCGUGGGGAGCAAACAGGAUUAGAAACCCGCGUAGUCC